AGGUGCGAUCAUAUCAGCACUAAUGCACUGGAUCCCAUGAGAACUUCGCAGUUAAGCGUGGUUGGGUGACAAUAGUACUAAAAUGGGUGACCUCUUGGGAAGUCUUUGUGUUGCACUUA
rnacentral:rRNA from 1 species